GCCAGGCAUGGUGGCGCAUGCCUGUAAUCCCAGCUACUCGGGAGGCUGAGACAGGAGAAUUGCUUGAACUCGGGAGGCAGAGUUUGCAGUGAGCUGAGAUCACACCAUUGCACUCCAGCCUGGGCAACAAAGCAAGACUCUGUCUCAA
rnacentral:SRP_RNA from 1 species